rnacentral:tRNA from 1 species
GGAGAGGUCGCGUAGUCCGGUUUAGCGCGCACGCCUGGAGAGCGUGUGAUCCGAAAGGAUCCGAGGGUUCAAAUCCCUCCCUCUCCGCCA